rnacentral:rRNA from 1 species
AUGAUUCUUCGGAUGAAGUCUUAUUUGACUGAGUGGCGGACGGGUGAGUAACGCGUGGGUAACCUACCUCACACAGGGGGAUAACAGUUGGAAACGACCGCUAAUACCGCAUAAGCCAACAGGACCGCAUGGUCUGGUUGGAAAAGAUUUAUCGGUGUGAGAUGGACCCGCGUCUGAUUAGCCAGUUGGCAGGGUAACGGCCUACCAAAGCGACGAUCAGUAGCCGGCCUGAGAGGGUGAACGGCCACAUUGGGACUGAGACACGGCCCAAACUCCUACGGGAGGCAGCAGUGGGGAAUAUUGCACAAUGGGGGAAACCCUGAUGCAGCGACGCCGCGUGAGUGAAGAAGUAUUUCGGUAUGUAAAGCUCUAUCAGCAGGGAAGAAAAUGACGGUACCUGACUAAGAAGCCCCGGCUAACUACGUGCCAGCAGCCGCGGUAAUACGUAGGGGGCAAGCGUUAUCCGGAUUUACUGGGUGUAAAGGGAGCGUAGACGGUGAUGCAAGUCAGAAGUGAAAGCCCGCGGCUCAACUGCGGGACUGCUUUUGAAACUGUAUGACUGGAGUGCAGGAGAGGUAAGCGGAACUCCUAGUGUAGCGGUGAAAUGCGUAAAUAUUAGGAGGAACACCAGUGGCGAAGGCGGCUUACUGGACUGUAACUGA